rnacentral:rRNA from 1 species
AGGGUGACAGCCCCGUACACAAAAGCGCAUGUGCUGUGAGCUCGAUGAGUAGGGCGGGACACGUGGUAUCCUGUCUGAAUAUGGGGGGACCAUCCUCCAAGGCUAAAUACUCCUGACUGACCGAUAGUGAACCAGUACCGUGAGGGAAAGGCGAAAAGAACCCCGGCGAGGGGAGUGAAAAAGAACCUGAAACCGUGUACGUACAAGCAGUGGGAGCCCCACCACCAAAGCAUUCUCUGGUGUUGAAGGCCCUGCAAAGCAGCAUCGCGGUGGCGGAGCGUCGUUUGCGACGCCCAACACACAAAACAAGCGGUGAGUGCUUUGGGGUGGGGUGACUGCGUACCUUUUGUAUAAUGGGUCAGCGACUUAUAUUCUGUAGCAAGGUUAACCGAAUAGGGGAGCCGGAGGGAAACCGAGUCUUAAUUGGGCGUUAAGUUGCAGGGUAUAGACCCGAAACCCGGUGAUCUAGCCAUGGGCAGGUUGAAGGUUGGGUAACACUAACUGGAGGACCGAACCGACUAAUGUUGAAAAAUUAGCGGAUGACCUGUGGCUGGGGGUGAAAGGCCAAUCAAACCGGGAGAUAGCUGGUUCUCCCCGAAAGCUAUUUAGGUAGCGCCUCGUGAAUUCAUCUCCGGGGGUAGAGCACUGUUUCGGCUAGGGGGCCAUCCCGGCUUACCAACCCGAUGCAAACUGCGAAUACCGGAGAAUGUUAUCACGGGAGACACACGGCGGGUGCUAACGUCCGUCGUGAAGAGGGAAACAACCCAGACCGCCAGCUAAGGUCCCAAAGUCAUGGUUAAGUGGGAAACGAUGUGGGAAGGCCCAGACAGCCAGGAUGUUGGCUUAGAAGCAGCCAUCAUUUAAAGAAAGCGUAAUAGCUCACUGGUCGAGUCGGCCUGCGCGGAAGAUGUAACGGGGCUAAACCAU